GCUGAACUAAAUGUCAAGAAGUUUGGAGGGACAAGGACUUUUAUUCACACAGUACUGCAGCAUAUUAGGAUUUGCAAUAUUCAACAAAGCAGAAGAUCAUGAUAACAAUUAGUACAAAUUGGAUAGCAUUCUAAAUUUUAUUCAUACUAUAGAAUAUAUUAAAAUUCACACUAAACAAACAUGAUUAUUAUGUAGGACAUAUCUUUUAUUUCUGCACUAGAUCUCCAAUAACAAAAGUCAUCAUUCAUGCCGGGAUAUCACAAAUAAUGGUGAUUCCAGGGAGCAUCCACGGUCCGUGGACCUGUAAAACCAGCAAUACUAUUUUAUGGUCAAGGCUUUUCAGAACUAAAUGUAAAUUCAUGUUAACACUCAUGAUGGAUUAAUACAAAAUCACUAUUUAAGGUGUCUAGAACGCGUGCUUGAGUUUGAUUAAAACGUACCAUAUGCACCAUGUAAAACCAAAAAGUUAAGAGCGUUGUUGGCAUUCAAUCCCAUUGACAUAACUCGUCAUACUUAAAAGCUAGCUCAAAAGCAGAUGAUUUUUCCCAAACUUAUUUUAUUAUCCCAGUAAUUAGUCUCUGCCUAUCUCGAAUAUUUUUUUAAUCAAUCGGAAGGACGUUCACUUUUGUGAGAAAUAUUUGAAGUAGAAAGUCGUUUUUUCUAUGAAAAAUAUACUUGGAAGCAUAAUCUACAAUAGUAAGCGUUUGUUUAAAAAUAAGACUACGAAAUGGAUCGCAAACCUUCCGUAUCGACAGGAAUAAAAUGAAAAUCGGGGUCAGAAUUAGUUGAAGAUCCUUCUCAAUUAAAUACAUAAUGUCAAAUUUGAGCGUUUCUUUUGUUUUUCUAAAUUUGUUAGAAGUAUCAUGCAGCAUGAAUGGAAAAUCAAGAAACAGAGGUAGGCGGACUUACAAGCAGGGUUAUUACAAGGCUUAGAGGGCCGUCCAGGUUUCCUUGCUGUUGCCAUCACCUCUGAGAUUAGGAGAAGCAUCACAACAAGAAGAAACACCCAAGAGAUUGAACAAAUCUUCGAGGCCAUC
rnacentral:lncRNA from 1 species